rnacentral:rRNA from 1 species
AGAGUUUGAUCAUGGCUCAGAGCGAACGGCGGCGUGCUUAACACAUGCAAGUCGAGUGCGCGGUUGUAGCAAUACAACUGGCGCACGGCGCACGGGUGCGUAACACGUGGGUAAUCUGCCCUCUGAUGGGGAAUAACUCGCCGAAAGGCGAGCUAAUACCGCAUAACAUUCCUUGGACUCCGGUUCGAGGAUUCAAAGGCGUAAGUCGUCGGAGGUGGAGCCCGCGCACGAUUAGCUAGUUGGUAGGGUAAAGGCCUACCAAGGCUAUGAUCGUUAGCUGGUCUGAGAGGAUGGCCAGCCACACUGGAACUGAGACACGGUCCAGACUCCUACGGGAGGCAGCAGUGGGGAAUCUUGCACAAUGGGCGAAAGCCUGAUGCAGCGACGCCGCGUGGGGGAUGAAGCUUCUCGGAGUGUAAACCCCUUUCGACCGGGACGAAUACCUCGCAAGAGGGGUGACGGUACCGGUAUAAGAAGCCCCGGCUAACUACGUGCCAGCAGCCGCGGUAAGACGUAGGGGGCCAGCGUUGCUCGGAAUUACUGGGUGUAAAGGGUUCGUAGGCGGUGUGGCAAGUCGGGAGUGAAAUCUCUGGGCUCAACUCAGGGGCUGCUUCCGAAACUGCCGUGCUAGAGUGUGGGAGAGGCGCGUGGAAUUGCAGGUGUAGCGGUGAAAUGCGUAGAUAUCUGCAGGAACACCCGUGGCGAAAGCGGCGCGCUGGACCACUACUGACGCUGAGGAACGAAAGCUAGGGGAGCAAACAGGAUUAGAUACCCCAGUAGUCC